GGAGCAUGUGGUUUAAUUGAAGCAACGCGAAGAACCUUACCAGGUCUUGACAUCCUCUGACAACCCUAGAGAUAGGGCGUUCCCCUUCGGGGGACAGAGUGACAGGUGGUGCAUGGUUGUCGUCAGCUCGUGUCGUGAGAUGUUGGGUUAAGUCCCGCAACGAGCGCAACCCUUGAUUUAGUUGCCAGCAUUCAGUUGGGCACUCUAAGGUGACUGCCGGUGACAAACCGGAGGAAGGUGGGGAUGACGUCAAAUCAUCAUGCCCCUUAUGACCUGGGCUACACACGUGCUACAAUGGAUGGUACAAAGGGCUGCAAACCUGCGAAGGUAAGCGAAUCCCAUAAAGCCAUUCUCAGUUCCGCACCGCAAUGCGCUGAAGCCGGAUCCAUAUUGG
rnacentral:rRNA from 1 species